rnacentral:rRNA from 1 species
UACGUAGGGUGCGAGCGUUGUCCGGAAUUAUUGGGCGUAAAGGGCUCGUAGGCGGUUUGUCGCGUCGGGAGUGAAAAUCCAGGGCUUAACUCUGGACUGGCUUUCGAUACGGGCAGACUAGAGGUAUGCAGGGGAGAACGGAAUUCCUGGUGUAGCGGUGAAAUGCGCAGAUAUCAGGAGGAACACCGGUGGCGAAGGCGGUUCUCUGGGCAUGAUCUGACGCUGAGGAGCGAAAGUGUGGGGAGCGAACAGG